UCUGAAGUGAAAGCAAAUGUGAAGUCUUUGGAUCCCAAAAGCCCUGCAUGAUGGUGACAACGAGGAAGACACUGGUGAUGCUGGCUGAGCAGGGAUCUGCCAAGACUGAGGCUUCAGGUCCGAGUGAGUGCACCUUCCUUCCGUGUUUCCGUGGUCUCUUCCUGGAUUCCCAAUUCCUGGCCUUGUUGCCGUGUGGUGUACAGGACAUCAUUCCAACACCCCCUCUGUUGAGCUGUUCCCUCCCCCAUGCCUACAGGUCAAGGUCCUCUGAGCAAAGCCAGUAACAUUAGUGAUAGACGUAUUUAAAGGGCUUAUUGCGAGCCAGCCACAGGGCUUGUCUUAUUUAAUCCUCAUAACAGCUCUCCGAGGCUGUCCCCACUUUACAGGUGAGGGGACGGGGGCUUGGCCCACAGUAAUUCCUCAAGGGGGCACAGCUAGAAGGUGGCAGUGUUGGGCUGAGACCUCAGCACUGAUUCUAAAGCCAUGCUCUUAAUGUCUCCAUGACACUAUAAAGCCCCCUCAUGCAGGAGAGUCUGGAGUCUGCCCUCCUCACCUGCCCACCCCCAAUUCCCAUAUCCACGCCACCUCUUCAGGGGACAGUGAAUGACCUCACCCUUCAGGUAACACCUGACUCUCUACACAUAGUGCUGGAGUCCCUCAAAGGCCUGCAGGUAUAGCAGCAUAAAAGGGACACUCGGGUUAUAGGAUGCAUUGCAGGUAAAUGGAGAGAAGAGGGUCCUCCUCUCUCCUUCCAGCACGUGGGGCACGAGCAGCUGUGCUGACACCCCCAGGCCCACUCGGGGCCCACCCCCCCCAACAGACAGCAGCCCCUUUCAUCCUGUCUGACUUAGCAGUUUAUUUUAGGCAUGGCCUGACCAGGUGCUCUGGGUCAAUAGGCUUAGUUUUAAAUAACUGGAUUCCUCUCAGCAACCGUCUCCUUUAGAAGGGGAGGGACAUGAUGGAAGAAUGAGCCUAGCAGGCUGCAGGCGGGGAGGGAAGCUCUCAGCCAGAGGACUGUAGAUGGCUGGCCUCUGUCACUGCCUGCGUGACCUCAGGCGGGUCCAUCACUCCUGGCUCUGGAUCUCAGCUUCCUCGUCUGUACAGCAGGGGGCUGGGUCAUCUCAAACACCUGUUGCAAUCUGCCCCGUGCCUCUGUUCACAGAGGACAAAACACCUCGUGGAGAAGCAUCUGCCUUGGAGUGGUGACUUAGUGUCUCAGAACUGGGCCACUCCGGGGACAGCGCCGGGCACAGCAAGCAGCUCUUCUCACAGGAGAGUCAGGUUCUGGUCUCGCUUGUGAUACAAACUGGGUGCCCUUGAGCAAGCUAAGCUUUACUCUUCUCACCUGUGUUAAAAGGUGGAGCUAACCUUCACAAUAUUUUCUGGAGCUUUACACAGAGCAACCACAGGUGAGAGCCCUUUAAACUCUUAAUGCACUGUGCAAAAAAAAAGUCAAGGCACCUGGCAAUUCCUCAGACAGUUAAAAA